rnacentral:lncRNA from 1 species
CAUCUAUUAAUGAUAUAUAUUAAUAUAUAUAUAUAUUAAAAAAAUAAUAAUAUUAAAUAUAUAUAUAAAUUUGAUUAGACUCACAAGCAUUGAAAAUCAAGCAUCCUACCAUUUGAGUUUGAUUUCAGUAUGAUAUAAUUAAAUGAAGUCGUGCUCAAAUUUGAACCGAGUCUAAAUAGUUUGCGAACAACACGAUUCAUUUGUAUCUCUGACCACAACCGUUG